rnacentral:tRNA from 1 species
UUACAUAUGGUGUAAAGCCAACACAUUAGAUUUUCAUGCUAAAUAUACAAAAAAUUGUUAUGU